rnacentral:rRNA from 1 species
ACCCCACUAUGCCUAACCACAAAUAGACCCCNNACCACCCCUUACUUUGUUUAAGUCCGCCCGAGUACUACAAGCGCUAGCUUAAAACCCAAAGGACUUGGCGGUGCCCCAGACCCCCCUAGAGGAGCCUGUUCUAUAACCGAUAAUCCACGUUAAACCUUACCACUUCUUGCUUUUACCGCCUAUAUACCGCCGUCGUCAGCUCACCCCAUGAGGGUAUAAAAGUAAGCAUAACGGACUUCCUCCAAAACGUCAGGUCGAGGUGUAGCGAAUGAAGUGGAAAGAAAUGGGCUACAUUUUCUCUAAAGAAAACACGGACAGUAAAAUGAAAAAUCACUUAUAAGGUGGAUUUAGCAGUAAGAGAAACUUAGGACAUUUUUCUGAAACCGGCUCUGA